AUUGAACGCUGGCGGCAUGCCUUACACAUGCAAGUCGAACGGUAACAGGUCUUCGGAUGCUGACGAGUGGCGAACGGGUGAGUAAUACAUCGGAACGUGCCCGAUCGUGGGGGAUAACGGAGCGAAAGCUUUGCUAAUACCGCAUACGAUCUACGGAUGAAAGCAGGGGACCGCAAGGCCUUGCGCGGACGGAGCGGCCUAUGGCAGAUUAGGUAGUUGGUGGGAUAAAGGCUUACCAAGCCGACGAUCUGUAGCUGGUCUGAGAGGACGACCAGCCACACUGGGACUGAGACACGGCCCAGACUCCUACGGGAGGCAGCAGUGGGGAAUUUUGGACAAUGGGCGCAAGCCUGAUCCAGCCAUGCCGCGUGCAGGAUGAAGGCCUUCGGGUUGUAAACUGCUUUUGUACGGAACGAAAAGACUCUGGUUAAUACCUGGGGUCCAUGACAGUACCUGAAGAAUAAGCACCGGCUAACUACGUGCCAGCCGCCGCCGUAACAC
rnacentral:rRNA from 1 species